UACGAAGGGGGCUAGCGUUGCUCGGAAUCACUGGGCGUAAAGCGCACGUAGGCGGCUUUUUAAGUCAGGGGUGAAAUCCUGGAGCUCAACUCCAGAACUGCCUUUGAUACUGAGAAGCUUGAGUCCGGGAGAGGUGAGUGGAACUGCGAGUGUAGAGGUGAAAUUCGUAGAUAUUCGCAAGAACACCAGUGGCGAAGGCGGCUCACUGGCCCGGUACUGACGCUGAGGCGCGAAAGCGUGGGUAGCAAACAGG
rnacentral:rRNA from 1 species